AACGAACGCUGGCGGCAUGCCUAACACAUGCAAGUCGAACGAGACCUUCGGGUCUAGUGGCGCACGGGUGCGUAACGCGUGGGAAUCUGCCCUUGGGUUCGGAAUAACAGUUGGAAAAGACUGCUAAUACCGGAUGAUGACGUAAGUCCAAAGAUUUAUCGCCCAAGGAUGAGCCUGCGUAGGAUUAGCUAGUUGGUGAGGUAAAGGCUCACCAAGGCGACGAUCCUUAGCUGGUCUGAGAGGAUGAUCAGCCACACUGGGACUGAGACACGGCCCAGACUCCUACGGGAGGGAGCAGUGGGGAAUAUUGGACAAUGGGCGAAAGCCUGAUCCAGCAAUGCCGCGUGAGUGAUGAAGGCCUUAGGGUUGUAAAGCUCUUUUACCCGGGAUGAUAAUGACAGUACCGGGAGAAUAAGCACCGGCUAACUCCGUG
rnacentral:rRNA from 1 species